GAUGAAGAACGUAGCGAAAUGCGAUACGUAAUGUGAAUUGCAGAAUUCAGUGAAUCAUCGAGUCUUUGAACGCACAUUGCGCCCCCUGGUAUUCCGGGGGCCAUGCCUGUCCGAGCGUCAUUGCUGCCCUCAAGCACGGCUUGUGUGUUGGGCCUCCGUCCUCCUCCCGGGGGACGGGCCCGAAAGGCAGCGGCGGCACCGCGUCCGGUCCUCGAGCGUAUGGGGCUUCGUCACCCGCUCUUGUAGGCCCGGCCGGCGCUUGCCGACACAUCAAUCUUUUUUCCAGGUUGACCUCGGAUCAGGUAGGGAUACCCGCUGAACUUAAGCAUAUCAAUAACGGAGGA
rnacentral:misc_RNA from 1 species